ACGAACGCUGGCGGCAUGCCUAACACAUGCAAGUCGAACGCGACCUUCGGGUCUAGUGGCGCACGGGUGCGUAACGCGUGGGAAUCUACCCUCAGGUUCGGAAUAACUCAGAGAAAUUUGAGCUAAUACCGGAUGAUGACGUAAGUCCAAAGAUUUAUCGCCUGAGGAUGAGCCCGCGUAGGAUUAGGUAGUUGGUGAGGUAAAGGCUCACCAAGCCGACGAUCCUUAGCUGGUCUGAGAGGAUGAUCAGCCACACUGGGACUGAGACACGGCCCAGACUCCUACGGGAGGCAGCAGUGGGGAAUAUUGGACAAUGGGCGAAAGCCUGAUCCAGCAAUGCCGCGUGAGUGAUGAAGGCCUUAGGGUUGUAAAGCUCUUUUACCCGGGAUGAUAAUGACAGUACCGGGAGAAUAAGCUCCGGCUAACUCCGUG
rnacentral:rRNA from 1 species